rnacentral:misc_RNA from 1 species
GGGUCUCCAAUCUGUAUAGCUGAAGCAAAUGUAGAAUUCGCUUUCACGGGCUUAAACUCUUCCCACCCCGACUUGUAAUACAAGUACAGCGGAUUAGCAUUUGCUGCUUGAGCACAAACUAGCCUUGGCAUUCUGUCAACAAGCCCCAACUCAUGACACAUUUUGAACCCUUUAUAAAAGGCAUAUAUAUUCCCUAAAUUACCACCGGGAACUAUAACCCAAUGCGGAACUUCCCAAUCAAACUGCUGCAAAAUCUC